UACGUAGGGGGCAAGCGUUGUCCGGAUUUAUUGGGCGUAAAGAGCGUGUAGGCGGCCAGACAAGUCCGUUGUGAAAACUAGAGGCUUAACCUCUAGACGUCGAUGGAAACUGUUUGGCUAGAGUCCGGAAGAGGAGAAUGGAAUUCCUGGUGUAGCGGCGAAAUGCGCAGAUAUCAGGAAGAACACCCGUGGCUAAGGCGGUUCUCUAGUACGGUACUGACGCUGAGACGCGAAAGCGUGGGGAGCGAACAGG
rnacentral:rRNA from 1 species